rfam:Ictidomys tridecemlineatus contig063452, whole genome shotgun sequence.
AGAGAUGUAGCUCAGUGGUAGAGUACUUGCCUAAAAUGAAUGAGGCUCUAGGUUCAAUUCCUAGUAUUUAUA